rnacentral:rRNA from 1 species
GAUGAACGCUGGCGGCGUGCCUAAUACAUGCAAGUCGAGCGAACAGACGAGGAGCUUGCUCCUCUGACGUUAGCGGCGGACGGGUGAGUAACACGUGGAUAACCUACCUAUAAGACUGGGAUAACUUCGGGAAACCGGAGCUAAUACCGGAUAAUAUAUUGAACCGCAUGGUUCAAUAGUGAAAGACGGUUUUGCUGUCACUUAUAGAUGGAUCCGCGCCGCAUUAGCUAGUUGGUAAGGUAACGGCUUACCAAGGCGACGAUGCGUAGCCGACCUGAGAGGAUGAUCGGCCACACUGGAACUGAGACACGGUCCAGACUCCUACGGGAGGCAGCAGUAGGGAAUCUUCCGCAAUGGGCGAAAGCCUGACGGAGCAACGCCGCGUGAGUGAUGAAGGUCUUCGGAUCGUAAAGCUCUGUUAUUAGGGAAGAACAAAUGUGUAAGUAACUAUGCACGUCUUGACGGUACCUAAUCAGAAAGCCACGGCUAACUACGUG